GUGCUCGCUUCGGCAGCACACAUACUGAAGUGGAAACAACACAGAGAUGAGCACGGCCCCUGCACAGGGAUGACAUGCUGAUUCAGGAAGCAGCACUAACUACA